CUGAGCUUUCAACUCUCCAAACCAUGUGAACUUACCACUGUUGCCUCGGUGGUUGGUCUUCAGACUGACCACCGGUGGACUACUAAACUCUUGUUAAUUUUUGGCAUUCUGAAUCAUAACUAAGAAAUAAGUUA
rnacentral:misc_RNA from 1 species